rnacentral:rRNA from 1 species
UACGUAGGGACCAAGCGUUGUUCGGAUUUACUGGGCGUAAAGGGCGCGUAGGCGGCAAUUCAAGUCAUCUGUGAAAUCUCCGGGCUUAACUCGGAACGGUCAAGUGAUACUGUUGUGCUAGAGUACAGAAGGGGCAAUCGGAAUUCUUGGUGUAGCGGUGAAAUGCGUAGAUAUCAAGAGGAACACCAGAGGCGAAGGCGGAUUGCUGGGCUGAUACUGACGCUGAGGCGCGAAAGCUAGGGUAGCAAACGGG